AUUGAACGCUGGCGGCAGGCUUAACACAUGCAAGUCGAGCGGAGAUGAGGUGCUUGCACCUUAUCUUAGCGGCGGACGGGUGAGUAAUGCUUAGGAAUCUGCCUAUUAGUGGGGGACAACAUUCCGAAAGGAAUGCUAAUACCGCAUACGUCCUACGGGAGAAAGCAGGGGAUCUUCGGACCUUGCGCUAAUAGAUGACCCUAAGUCGGAUUAGCUAGUUGGUGGGGUAAAGGCCUACCAAGGCGACUAUCUGUAGCGGGUCUGAAAGGAUGAUCCGCCACACUGGGACUGAGACACGGCCCACACUCCUACGGGAGGCAGCAGUGGGGAAUAUUGGACAAUGGGGGGAACCCUGAUCCAGCCAUGCCGCGUGUGUGAAGAAGGUCUUAUGGUUGUAAAGCACUUUAAGCGAGGAGGAGGCUACUGAGACUAAUACUCUUGGAUAGUGGACGUUACUCGCAGAAUAAGCACCGGCUAACUCUGUGCCAGCAGCCGCGGUAAUACAGAGGGUGCGAGCGUUAAUCGGAUUUACUGGGCGUAAAGCGUGCGUACGC
rnacentral:rRNA from 1 species